rnacentral:rRNA from 1 species
UGGGUGGAUCAGUGGCGAACGGGUGAGUAACACGUGAGCAACCUGCCCCCUACUUCGGGAUAAGCCUUGGAAACGAGGUCUAAUACCGGAUAUGAGCACCUACCGCAUGGUGGGUGUUGGAAAGUUUUUCGGUGGGGGAUGGGCUCGCGGCCUAUCAGCUUGUUGGUGGGGUAAUGGCCUACCAAGGCGUCGACGGGUAGCCGGCCUGAGAGGGCGACCGGCCACACUGGGACUGAGACACGGCCCAGACUCCUACGGGAGGCAGCAGUGGGGAAUAUUGCACAAUGGGCGAAAGCCUGAUGCAGCGACGCCACGUGAGGGAUGACGGCCUUCGGGUUGUAAACCUCUUUCAGCAGGGAAGAAGCGAAAGUGACGGUACCUGCAGAAGAAGCGCCGGCUAACUACGUGCCAGCAGCCGCGGUAAUACGUAGGGCGCAAGCGUUGUCCGGAAUUAUUGGGCGUAAAGAGCUCGUAGGCGGUCUGUCGCGUCUGGUGUGAAAUCCCAUGGCUCAACUGUGGGCUUGCAUCGGGUACGGGCAGACUAGAGUGCUGUAGGGGAGACUGGAAUUCCUGGUGUAGCGGUGGAAUGCGCAGAUAUCAGGAGGAACACCGAUGGCGAAGGCAGGUCUCUGGGCAGUUACUGACGCUGAGG